UACGGAGGGCGCAAGCGUUGUUCGGAAUCACUGGGCGUAAAGCGCGUGUAGGCGGCUCGGCAAGUCGGGUGUGAAAUCCCGAGGCUCAACCUCGGAACUGCACUCGAAACUGCCGGGCUCGAGUCCCGGAGAGGGUGGCGGAAUUCCCGGUGUAGGGGUGAAAUCCGUAGAUAUCGGGAGGAACACCAGUGGCGAAGGCGGCCACCUGGACGGUGACUGACGCUGAGACGCGAAAGCGUGGGGAGAAAACAGG
rnacentral:rRNA from 1 species